GAACACAUCAGAAGCUGCUGACCAGCUGAACCCACGUGCUGCUGCUUUGCCCCAGUUCACCUGCUCUUCACUGGGCUGUCCAGAGGUGCAGUGUGUGUGUGCCAGAUGCUUGGAAAGCCUGGGAGAAUUAUUGGGAGAGAUUUGAUUAAGACUCCGAUGGGAUUCAUUUACCGCCAAAAGCACGGAGUAAUCUCCCAAGCUUUGCUCUGCAGGGACCUGCAUGCUCUCGCCUUACUAUAAACCAUCCCUCAAAGAACAGUUCAGCUCCUUGCACCUGUCUCUUCUUACAUGACUGACUUCAGGAGCAGGGUACAGAAACAUCAGAUGUUGUAUUAAUGGCUGCAAACCUAAAGCUUCGGCUAAAAACCUGAACAACUGCUCAGCAACAGGUGCACCAUUGUCUGAAUGGCAAAAUCGACAGCAAAACUCUCCCUGGAGGUUUCAUUGGCUUCCCUAAGAGCCGGCAUUGCAGAUCCAUUAGCAGGAAGGGUCUUAGCAGAUGCAGGGGGCACAGACACAUUCUUGAAAACACUUUAUUCUGUCUGGGAUGACUUAGGUGGAGCUGGUGGCUCCGAGCAUGAAUCUGGGCACUUCAGUGUGAGAAGAAGCUUUCUUCCAAUAGUCCUGGAGGGCUUCACCAAACUCUGCGUUAAGCCUCCUCUAGUGAAAAUAAGCUGUGCCACAUUGUUCUUGCAUGAAGCUGUGUUUUUACAAGUAUGAAAUAUCAUGUUCCAGAAGACAGGUGUGAUUUAGGAGUGCUCCAGCCCUUGACAGAUGAGAGGGAAUAGUUACAGUGAUGGCUCAGGCAGUGUUUGUCCUGUGGUCACAUCCCCUGAAUGCUGUGGUACAGAAGAACUCCUCCUUUUAACCCUCGCUGUUAGGACCUCGGUUCUCUGCUCUUCAUCACCAGGACUUCAGCUCUUUGUUUUCCUCUCUGGAAGACAUGGAUGUCUUGUACAUUUGGUAGCUUUUGGCUGUGCAUGGGAGGGUGCAGAUACUGUCCUUCUCUUCCUGAACCACUUCUAGUAUUAAGACACAGAGAUGCAAAGUCCAGUUCUAUCUUACAUCCCAUCUACAGCUGGAUAUGUGCCUCCACUGCAGUGCCACAGCCAUCCAUGGAGCACGUUAAUGGUAUCAGGGAGCACCUUCCAGCCCUGGGGGCUUGAUCCACCACACCACCAUACUGGAUUGAAGUAUUUCCCCAGAUGCUCCUAGAUCUAAGGCCGCUUUAAACUGCUGCCCUUAAGCCCUUGUCUAGCUCUGUAUCCCUCUUGUCUAGCUCUGUAUCCCUCACCACAAUUGUAUAGUUCCCUAGAAUCACUCAGGCUGCCUGUUUCUGUAAUAAGUUACUGCUUUCUGAUUGCUGCAUGCAAAAUUUAGGAAUGCAUCGAUACAUGACAUCCUAAUAUGAACCAUACCAGUAACAUUGGAAUUUAAAUAUUCAUGGCUACCGAAUGCAGAUGGUGAAUGCUCUCUGCCAAUAUGUUAUUGCUUUGAGUCUCUGCUGAAGCGAGGUUCAGUCCAACUUGAUCUGAACACGAGGAUUCCAGUCUAAUCCCUUGGGGCUUUGUCUUGCAAUUACAACAAAUAACUAUUUAUUUUACACUGCCUCUGGGAAAACCCUGAAGCAGAAAACUAUAGUAUCUGAAGUCUGGUCUAGUUUACGGAGCUGGAUGCUGACUGCUAAAGCACUUAGGGAAUGCCAAUGCUUCGAUUUAUUGGAUGCACUGUGUGACUUAAGCCAAAGCAUGCAAAAUUCAUGAAAGGUUUUAGUCUGUCCAGUGUGUUUUCCCAAAGUUUGCUUGCACCCAAUCUUUAUAAAAAAAUGGAACUGAGAUAAAUGCUUCCACUUGAAACUGGCUGCUUACUUAAUGUAAUACAUAAAAAGAGCUGAUAGAAAUCCUACGUGGCAGAUUGAACUAAGCCCAAGCAGAUGCAAUGGGUUCGCUUUCAGUUUCUUUUAACAUGGAGACUCAUCACGGAUUGUAGCAUGAAAGGUUAAAUGUGUGUGUCUAUGGGGAGGUAAUUACAGAACGUGUGCCCCACGAGCCUAUGAGUACCUGCCUCCGACCCGUGGGUUAUGACUUUCUUGUUGAUUUAGGCAGGGACAUGCCAUGCACACACCUGGUGUUUAUGGAAAGCGCCCUACGGAGAUAAGCUUCUCCAAUUGUUCCAAACCCUGCCUUUCACCACCACCACCAGCAGCACCCUUCCUGGAGUAUCGGAAAAGACUGAUUGCAAACAAGUAAAGGCAAAAAGAA